CAGAACACUCCGCAGAAGCUUGCAUGUUGCCUGGUUACAGGCUCCAGCCACAAAGAUGGGAAGUCAGGUCAGUUACUGGCACCUUAGGAGCCUUUAUAGAUUUUCAGGACUUCAAGAGUAGACAACAAGCAAAAGAAGCAAAGGAUUCCAACUCUUCAGGAAACAUCUGGGGAUUCUUCUGAAUCUCCCUGCUCAGGACUAGUCUUUUGACUUCAGUUUUGUAAAUGGAAGAAGGAUGAAUAAAGGAAGAAAAGUGCAGACCAGCUGGCCAAUCUUAGAGCAGACACAGGGUGGAGCAAAAAUGAGUCUUUUUCUUUUUCGCUAAAUCUAUCAUGGUAAUAAUUUUCCUGCAUUGCACAUUUACUAAUUUUACAUUUAAAAAUGCUUAGAGAAGAAAAUUGUACAAUGAGAAUGAAGAAGUAGAAAUAACUGUUUUCUCUUAGCAAACACUGAUAUGGGGGAGUCCCAAGAGACACACAUCAGUCAGGGAGGAAUAUGUGCAUCUCCUUAGCUUUGUCCUGGUCUAUUUUAUAUGACUUAACAAUAUUAUUCCUACGUCACACUAAGGUCUCCAAAAAUGUUUUGAACUUUUUGAUAUCAUAUCUACUGAGAAUACCAAACCAUUCUACCUCUGGCUCCAGCUCAAGUUCUUGCUUUUUGUUCAACUCACUGCAUUUUUAUUCCUAAACCUCACACUACCAACUGGUAGACUUCAAUAGGUCUGAAUAGAUCAGGUCAACCCUGUAGGUAAGCAGAAGAGACUCUAAGCUGCAUUUCAGACGGAAGCCUGUAGGUUCACAUAAAACCGUAGGAGGUUCUGGUUCUUUAAUCAUUCAUUUUUUUCUUUAAAAGGAAGACAAUAUCUUAUCUGAAGUGUAAACUCAAAGAGCACGAAAUAUAUACACUAAACACCACCAACAAAUAACACAUUUAUCUUAGUUAUCCUCCUGCAUGUAGUGUGAUUUGGUAGGUAGCAUCAUUGAAAACCUUGUCUUUUACUUCUGCAUCUGUCAGUAUAUAGGACAGCCAACAAAUGUUUUCUUAAGGUAUAAGCUAUGAAUAAGUAAGUACCUCUCUUUUGCAGUCUGUUAGAAUCAGAUUACCUACUUCACUUCUUGGAUUUUACACAUAAACUAAAUGUUAAAGAAAUUAGGUUGGUCUCUUAAGGUUAAAAUGUUAGCUAACUGGCACAGGGGCUUGUUGAAUUUUUUGUUGUUGUUGUUCUGGGAAUUGAAUUCAGGACCUUGUGCUUGCUAGGCAGAUGCUGUGCCACUGAGCUAUCUCCCCAGCCCUUAUUGAAUUAUUACUGAAGAGGGAGGUAAAUGAAUAAAAGACACAAACUAAACUAUAUGUCUGUAAGGCACAAAUAUAAAAUUCCUAUUUUUAUUAGUAUUAUACGUGGUACAGAGAAAAGAGAUUUUUAUAUAAAUUAAUAAUAUCCUUUGAUUUUAUCUAUUAUAUGGUUAAGUAUAUCUAAAUGAAUGA